AUUGAACGCUGGCGGCAUGCCUUACACAUGCAAGUCGAACGGCAGCACGGGUGCUUGCACCUGGUGGCGAGUGGCGAACGGGUGAGUAAUACAUCGGAACAUGUCCUGUAGUGGGGGAUAGCCCGGCGAAAGCCGGAUUAAUACCGCAUACGAUCCAUGGAUGAAAGCGGGGGACCUUCGGGCCUCGCGCUAUAGGGUUGGCCGAUGGCUGAUUAGCUAGUUGGUGGGGUAAAGGCCUACCAAGGCGACGAUCAGUAGCUGGUCUGAGAGGACGACCAGCCACACUGGGACUGAGACACGGCCCAGACUCCUACGGGAGGCAGCAGUGGGGAAUUUUGGACAAUGGGCGAAAGCCUGAUCCAGCAAUGCCGCGUGUGUGAAGAAGGCCUUCGGGUUGUAAAGCACUUUUGUCCGGAAAGAAAUCCUUGGCUCUAAUACAGUCGGGGGAUGACRRUACCGGAAGAAUAAGCACCGGCUAA
rnacentral:rRNA from 1 species